rnacentral:rRNA from 1 species
UACGUAGGGUGCAAGCGUUGUCCGGAAUUAUUGGGCGUAAAGAGCUCGUAGGCGGUCUGUCGCGUCGGCUGUGAAAACCCGGAGCUCAACUCCGGGCCUGCAGUCGAUACGGGCAGACUGGAGUUCGGCAGGGGAGACUGGAAUUCCUGGUGUAGCGGUGAAAUGCGUAGAUAUCAGGAGGAACACCGGUGGUGUAGACGGCUUUCUGGACCGUAACUGACGCUGAGGCACGAAAGCGUGGGUAGCAAACAGG